ensembl:snoRNA
CUGCGAUGAUGAGAUCUGUGUAGACUGAUCUGGUAUUGCCUCCGUCUGGGGAAUCGCUCUGACCAGGGAAUGAUCUCACACCAAUCUUCUCUCUGAGCAG